rfam:Brachypodium distachyon strain Bd21 chromosome 4, whole genome shotgun sequence.
GUAAUAUUUCCUCCGUCCAACAAAGGAUGUCUCGACUUUUGUAUGCAUCUAUACACUAAGUCACAUCUAGAUACAUUCAAAUUUUGACAAACUUGAGACAUAUUUUGUUGGACGGAGGAAGAUAUUUA